rnacentral:rRNA from 1 species
UACGUAGGGACCAAGCGUUGUUCGGAUUUACUGGGCGUAAAGGGCGCGUAGGCGGCAUGACAAGUCACUUGUGAAAUCUCUGGGCUUAACCCAGAACGGCCAAGUGAUACUGUCGCGCUAGAGUGCAGAAAGGGCAAUCGGAAUUCUUGGUGUAGCGGUGAAAUGCGUAGAUGUCAAGAGGAACACCUGAGGCGAAGGCGGGUUGCUAGGCUGACACUGACGCUGAGGCGCGAAAGCCAGGGGAGCAAACGGG